ensembl:lncRNA
CUUUUUGCAGAUUUUCUAAUGUGGACUCAUGUAAUACUUUCAUUUCAUCAAGAAUCUCAUUCUUUCUCUUUGUAUCUUCAGCAAGAUGAACAAUAUCUUCUUUCUCCUUCUGAAGUUUUUCAGCCAUCUUUUCCAAACUCUGUCUCUCAUUUUGUGUUUCUUCUUUUAGCCUUCUCAUAUCUUCAGUUUGUCUUUGCAGCUCAAUCUUCAUCUGUUCUACGUCAUCCUUCUCAUUUCGAAUAGCUUUUUUAUGAUAUUGAAGCUCCUUUAUCUCUCUGUCUAGGGCUGCUCUUUUUUCAUUUAUGUCAUUAUUCAGUUCUGCCUUCAAGAGCUCCAGUUCAGUCUGUCUCAUACUCAUUUGUUGUUUCUCAUUUGCAAUGUUGUCCUGUUGCUCUGAAAUACUAUCUCUCAGUAAAAGAAGCAUGUCUUUUUCUUUCUGUAUUUCUGCUAGUGUGAUCUUGUUCUUUUCUCUUUCUUCAACGAGCUGGGUUUCAAGAUCCUCCUUCGCUCUUGCUAUAUCUGUCAUCACCUUCUGCUCAUCUAUCUCUGUUUGCUCUUUCUGAAUUUCCAUUUUUAGACUUUGCAGCUCCGCUUGUUGGUAUCUUGUUCUUUUCUCUCGCUAUUUCUGCUUGUAUCUGUUGCAUAUCACACCUUUUCUUUUCUAGUUCCUCCCUCUCUUGUUUAAGCUGCUCUGCCCAUUUCUUCAUGUUCUGUCUUUCUUUC